rnacentral:lncRNA from 1 species
GGGUGUAGCUGAUAUAUACUAUGUCCAAUUAUACCAUGCCAAACAUCAAACAAGUCAACAUAUUGACAGGUGAAGAAAAAUUUUAGCUAGUAUGUCUUGUAAAUUUUCCAUUAGGGAUAAUAUCAUAUUUUUGCCAUAUUUCUAUAUUUGUAUUAGAAUAAUUCUAGUAUAAUUUUUUAUUAUUGAGUAUGAUUAUGUAUCAGAUUUAAUAUCU